GGCUUCAGUUCUGCUUUCAGCUUUGUAUGCCGAUAUCAUCUGUCCUGCCCAUAUAAGAGAUGGAUUUUUUAUGUUACUAGAAUCUGCUGAUGAUCUUGCUGUCGAUAUAUUGGAUGCGGUUGAUAUCCUUGCUUUGUUCUUAGCUCGUGCUGUAGUUGAUGACAUACUUCCUCCAGCAUUUCUAGCCAGGGCAAGGAAGGCAUUGUCGGAAUCAUCUAAAGGAACUCAG
rnacentral:misc_RNA from 1 species